rnacentral:rRNA from 1 species
UAAGCGAGUAGUGAAAUUUCAGGGCUCAACCCUGAAACUGGUGCUCGAACUGGCAAACUAGAGUGUAUGAGGGGUACCUGGAAUUCCUAGUGUAGGAGUGAAAUCCGUAGAUAUUAGGAGGAACACCAAUGGCGAAGGCAGGGUACUGGCAUAUUACUGACGCUGAGGCACGAAAGCGUGGGGAGCGAACCGGAUUAGAUACCCGGGUAGUCCACGCCGUAAACGAUGGAUGCUG